ACUUGGAUACUGCGGUAAUUCUGGAGCUAAUACAUGCGCAAAACCGCGACUUUACGGAGAGGUGCCUUUAUUAGAUCAAAACCAAACGGCUUUGCCGUCUCUUUGGUGAUUCUGAAUAACUUUGGGCUGAUCGUAUGGCCACGAGCCGGCGACGUAUCCUUCCAAGGUGUGCCCUAUCAACUGUCGACUGUGAUAUAGACGUUCACAGUGGUUUUGACGGGUAACGGGGAAUUAGGGUUCGAUUCCGGAGAGGGAGCCUGAGAAACGGCUACCACUUCUACGGAAGGCAGCAGGCACGCAAAUUACCCACUGGGCGAAGCCCGAGGUAGUGACGAAAAAUAACGAUACCGGUCUCAUCCGAGGCCCGGUAAUCGGAAUGAGUACACUUUAAAUCCUUUAACGAGGAACAAUU
rnacentral:rRNA from 1 species